AACGUUGUCAGGUAUUUGAACAGAGAAGGUAGUAUAAUAGUUGUUCAGUAGGAGUGAAGUUAUUAACUUGGCAACUGAAAGUCAAAACCAGGACACUAGGGUGUCACGGAGGUAGGAACUGCAGAAAGCAGCCGCUGUCUGAGGGGCUAGGUGUGAGGGCAGGUGGGAAUUAUUAAAAACUUAGCAACCUGAAACCCAGACUUUGAGGAGAAGGCACGGCUGGCUGGGCUGGCACCUCUGAGCUGGAGAGGGGCCCGUGGGGACCUGGGGUCUCCGGGGAGAGGCAAGUGUAAUGAAGCUCGUGAGGUAAGCGUUGGAAAAACCGCACUGUGUGCAAAGUGCUGGGAACUGCCAGUGCCGGGGUGGAGAGGUGACAUCAGAGUGACCACCAAGGAACAGGCACCCCACGGGAUGCAGAGAGGAAGGAACGCAUUCUUUCUUUCUCCUCCAGCUUUGCUGUCUCCCUCUGGUGCUUCCCAUCCAAGAGCUAACAGGGAGCCCGCAGGGAAGCCCGCAGUGUGGUUUGCAGAGUCUGAACUGCCCAAGGCUGAGCCCGGAAGGGCAGGUUUGGAUCUGAGAGACGGUAAGUUCUAAAGGUCUCCUAAAACAUUUUGUUUGUUGUAAUAUUCACAGGCAUCAUCCAAUCUGUUCAUCCCAAGAGAUUCAAACUCUUAAUAGAUUCAUCCUUGGGUGGUCUCUGGGGGCACAUAUAGUGGAUUUUUGGACCGUGGUCGUGCAGCAACGGGAGCAGUGGUGGCUCUCACCAUUUAUAAUCUCUGGUCAGGAUGGGUUUCUAAAUCGGAUGGGGACCAAUGGUACUUCUUGAUCAUAGCCCCAUGGCGACUGUGGGCACUGGCCUAUUUAUGUGGUUGGUGUCACCUCUCCAGUGAUGUUUUCUGGGGUUCUGAACCAGAGUCCAACUCACAAACAACCACCCACUCUUUCCUUGGGCACUAGGAAAUCGCCCAACAUUGAAAACAUGACUCAUGGAGUGUAAUCAAAGCAAAUUUGUUUCGGUCUCCCACUGUCCAUUCUCAUCCAUUCAGGGGAAUGAGCUCUUCCCCUGCACCAGAUAAAAUUUAGGGCGAGCCCCAUGACUUUCUAGUCACACUUAGUAAUACCCAAGAUUCCUCUAGUCACUUCAAAAUGUAUAGUAUAAAUUUAAUAGUUGAAAUAUUCUUGCCUUAAAAUUGAAGCUCCCUUUCCUGUCCCACCUCAGGAUUAUUGAAAGAUGGAGAGAAAGGGGGCUAAGUAUACUUACUAACUAUGAGUCCUGACUCUUUCAGGGCUGGAGUUCUGGAAUUGAGAGGAGGUAAGAGGAGUGGGGGAGUUCUUGCUUGAUUGGUCUUGGCAUAGUGAUUUGUAUCAUCUGCUCUCUUUGGACUUGGCAGGUGUUUUUAAGCUGACUCUCACAGACUCUUUUGGAUGAUCUUUACUCCCAAUUACUGAGGAUCUUUUUCCUAAAGUUUGUUUCAUAGGACAAAUACUCUAUUCUAGCCACUUGCUUACUUCUUCUUCAGCCUCUGUGAAUGUGGUGAUACCUCAGGCUUCUCUCUGAGAAGAUCUAUUUGUCCCCCCUGCAGCCCUCUUAGAGCUAAGAUAAUCUUUCACUGCUGUGGGGAGUAACGUGGGGGGAGGGAGGAAGGGGGGGGACUUUUCCUCUACCCUCUUAUAUUCAGUGACUGGAACCUGCAAAUUAAAAUGACAAAAGAUAGAUUAACAGGAGAGGAGGUCUAUGUUUGGCCUGGGGGGUGGGGGAGGCUCUCACAAAAAGGAGUGAAAAAAUCCCCUAAAGCCUGGGGGCUUAUAUACCAUUUUAACAAAAAGUGAUAAAUCAUGAAGUGACAAGACAAGUUAAGGGGUUUGGGCUUCUAGGGGUGGUAAAUCAUGGAAGGUAAUGUACAGGGGAAACUAAUGGAAGAUAAGAGUUGUUUUAGCUUAGAUUCAAGUCAGUGCCUCGGGCAAGUAUGCGAAGAGGGGAAGGGGCACAGCACAGGGGAAAGGCAUGUCUCUCUUUUACAAAGAGAGAGGGCAAACAGUUCCUCCAGUGUGUAUCAUUUCUUCAUUGCCUUCAGCUCAAAAUAACCCUUAUGUUACAGAGGCAUAUUUUGGGGUGGGAUGUUCUGAUCCCCUUCACUGCCAACCCUAUUUUGGGUGAGGCCAAUAUCUAGCCAGAUACUCAAUUUGUUGUAACAAAUUUGGAGAGUGCAAGCUGUCACUGGCCUUCCCUUUACUCCACAGUCAAAGCCAUAGUCAGCCGGUCACUCAUCCCUCAGAUUUUCUAAGUGGAAUAUUUGAUACCUGUGCACUGUGUCUCCUAAACCUCUCAGGGGACAUGUUGGAUCCCCUUUCUCUAAGCCUGCGACAAGGGCCCUAUACUCCCUUCUUUCACUCGUGGGUAAGAAUGGGACUCACAGCACAUCAAAAACUUUGUUCACAGACCCUCUUCUCUCACCUCCAAACUCUUAUCCCCAUGAUUGAGGGGUACAGCAGUCACAAAACUGGUUUUCCCUGCCUGCCUUCUAAAGCCUGCUUGGUGGUCUGGCAUCCCAUUUUGGAAUGUAAUCUCUGUUGUCUUUAGGUCUUGGCAGAAAUUUCUAUUGUGAUAUCUUGUUACAUGUGUACAUUAAGAAAAAUGAACAAAGUAACUGAGUAAUUAUUCUAGAAGCAUCAAUAUUCUUAAAGUUUCCAAACUUGAGUAAAAUGGCUGGGAUGGGUCUUUUUUGGUCCGUUAGGGACUGUUCAGAUAGAGCAGAGAUACUGCAAAACUUCCCUCAGGCCCUCGGAAUCCUCUCCCAACAGAAAUCACGGAACUGUUUCUAACCGCUUAUAAAAGGGGGGAGCACUCUGGGACUGCAUCAGAGGACUGUCCUCUACUUCACCGGCUUACCAUGAGGAUUACAUGAGAUCAUAUAUGCAAAAAGAAUUUUGUAAUUUGGUAAACCAGAAGGCACGAUGCAUGGACAUGCAGGGGGCUAUCAUGAUUAUGGAUACUUUAAGGGGGCCUUGAUUAGCUAGAAUUUCUCAAGACAGUUCUAAGCAGGCACUUCCAGUUCAAAGAGGAAAUUUUGCUCAUUAAAACUAGAUCCAGAGCAAACAAUGGGGCUAUUUGGCAAGUGUUUCUGAGGGAAAAAAAAUACACCUAGAGUACACAUUAGCAACAUUGGGAGAUUACUGUGUAGCUGGCAGGCAGAGCCCCACCUAUAUGCCCUUGGCUUACCCCAGGGUCACCUGCCACCUGUUCCCCGGUGACCCACAGCUUCCUGCUUCUUGCUGCCUGCAGGUGUUCUCUGGCCUCUGGAGCAUGCCUGCCUCUGAGGUUGGCAGGGAUGAAUGCUCCAGGAGCAACACUUACCCCAUGGGGGUGUGAGGGUCCCCAGGGGCCAUUCUGAGAUGUGUUCCAACUUCUCAGAGGGUCCCUGCGGCAUCGAGCCCCCCUCUUGCCAGUGGUAGCCAGCUCACUACCCUUGCCUCCCUUUCCUGCUUCACCUUCCUCCUUCUCUCACAGAGCAUUCUGGGAUCACCACCUCAACUACGUGCAACCUGAAUCUUUGCCCGAGUCUGCUUUCAGGGGAGUGACUCAAGCUAAGGCAGAAAAGCCCGGAGGGCUUAUCUUUGGCAGGAAAAUGUAAAUUAUACUAACUGAAAUAGUAGCUUCUCGGUAAAUCUAGCUACUGGGUGGAAAUUGUUAAGUGGUCAUAAUAACUUGCAUGUAUUAAUAGCUUCCUUCAUGAUACUAAGCUCUCUUCACACACUUCAUUCAUAGCAAUUGUAGAAGUGGAUGCUGUUAUUUUCUCUUAUUUUAUAGAUGAGGACACUGAGACACAGUGAAUAGUGCAAGGCCACAUAACUUGCAAGCAACAGAGCCGGGAUUGCGACUCUGGUAAUCUGGUUCUAGAAACCACACUCGUGUCUCCUCACUGUGCUUUUUUAACUAUUGAACACUGACAGAGCAGGCUCUCCAGUGCAUGAGAGGUGAGCCUAACUCAAGUGUUGCUGAGAGACAGAGGGUCUAGGAAGACGAAUGGAGAUCAGAGAUUGGAAGCCUGAAAUCAAAGCCACAUCCCACCCCACUUACCAGCUGAGUGACCUUGACCAAAUCACUUCCCUGACCCUCAGUUUAUUUAUUUAAAAAAAUUUUUUUUCGGGCGCCUGGGUGGCGCAGUCGGUUAAGCGUCCGACUUCAGCCAGGUCACGAUCUCGCGGUCCGUGAGUUCGAGCCCCGCGUCGGGCCCUGGGCUGAUGGCUCAGAGCCUGGAGCCUGCUUCCGAUUCUGUGUCUCCCUCUCUCUCUGCCCCUCCCCCAUUCAUGCUCUGUCUCUCUCUGUCCCAAAAAAAAUAAAUAAACGUUGAAAAAAAAAUUUUUUUUAAUGUUUUAUUUAUUUUUGACAGAGAGAGAGAGAGAGAGAGAGAGAAUGAGCGAGGGAGGGGCAGAGAGAGAGUGGGACACAGAAUCGGAAGCAGGCUCCAGGCUCUGAGCUGUCAGCACAGAGCCCGAUGCGGAGCUCGAACUCACAGACUGCGAGAUCAUGACCUGAGCUGAAGUCAGACGCUCAACCGACUGAGCCACCCAGGCGCCCCCCUCCCCAACCCUCAGUUUAAAUCUUACGUGUAAUGUGGGUGGUGGGGGGGGGUUGGUGAAAAAAAACUUAUGUCUGAGUCAUGGGGUGGUGCUGAGGUUCAAAUGAGAGGGCACUUGUGGAGCCCCAGGCAAACUCUGAGCCUGAUGGGCGAUUUUCGAAGCUGUGAUAUUGGCCACAGUCUCCCAACUCUGUCCUCUACAGAUCUCAACAUCACCUUUAUCCCACCUCCCAGGACCCAGGACUCUCAUUGCUGCUUCCCUGAAGGAGUUACUAUGAUGUGGGUGGCAGAGGAUGAAACUGCAAUCUGACACGAGUUCGAAUCUCAGAAUCCUUACUGUUUCUACUUUACUUUCUUUUUGGAAGUAACCUUGGACAAGUUAUUUAAUUUCUCCAGGCCUCUGUUUUCUCACCUGUAAAAUGGGGUUAAUAAACAAGACUGUGGAAAUGGUUAACUAGACAAUGCACAAUAAGAGCUUAGCACAGCCGGCACAGGCCAGUGCUCAAAACAUGGUAGCUACUGUUGUUACUAUGGGUUUUAUGAGAGAAAAACACGAGCCCCAUCCAGAGACAGGAAGAAAAAGGGCUGAUUUGACAUGAUAUAUAAGAAGAGAAUUAUUAACUGUUUCCAUCUACUUAAGAGAAAGUGAGAAAGCCUCAAUCUGUCAUUGUAUUCCUGUUUACUUUCAAAUUCUAUACAUCUUGCUGGAGAAAAUGAUAAAGAAGGUUUGAAGAGGAAGCAAUUUUGGAAACCAUUAUUAAAAGCAACAAUGAUGUAACACAAAAGUAUAAUCUAUAGCCGUGAACCCACAUGGAUUCCUUAAACAUAAACAAAGCUUUUAUUUCUGAAUCUAGCUCCCUCCUCACAAAGAAACAAGCAUAGUGUCUGGGGGAAGGGAGCAGGGAAUGCAAUGUGCUGAAUCCGGAAAGAGACAGCGGGGCUGGAAUGAUCGCCCCAGGCAGUCAGGCGUGGACUUUGGAAGGAGCAGGGCAGGGGCAGAAGUGUGGGUGAGGAGGCUGAGAAGAGUGAAGACACAGUCAAGUAAUGGUGAAAAAGAAACCCGGCUCUGGCCUCCUACCUUGAGGCAGGCGCCCUAUGGACUGAUCCCUCCUCACCCACCCUGGGGAGCUCAGGGGGAGGAGACACCCUGGUGUCUGCUCCUCACCAGGCUUAAGUGCCUAUCGAGGAUCCCGCACUUGUUAAUUUGUCAGGUUUAAAAGAAGGGAGAGAGCCCUGACGUUUUCCCACCCCGUGGAAGUGAAAGAAGAAAGAGUUCUUUACUUUUAGGGCCAUAUCCUGAAUGACAGAGGUCAGUGUUUGCAACUGAUCUGUGUAGGCUCCGGCUUCUAAUUAUUUCCUGGAUAACCUGUUAUCUAUUAGCCAUCAGGCUGCUUGCCAGAAUAUGCAAUGUCUCCAGAGUUCCUGGUCUGGAUUCUGAGGAUCGGAUUUUGUGUUUUUAUUUAUUUGUUUUGUUUUGUUUUAAGGGAAGUGGGAGGUGGGGGCAGAUGGCUGUGAGUCCCACUGGCAGAAGAGCUUUUCUGUCCCCCUGUCCUUAGCCUGCGCUGAAGGAGAUAGAAGGCGGAGGAGCCCAGGGCACAACCAUUCUGAUGCCCCUGUGGACCCCGGCAGUGUCUACUCUUUCUCCCGGCUCCUUGACUCGCACUACUUUGGGGGACUUGGCUUUGUUGUAACCUUCUGGAAAAGCUUCUGAGAGAAAUGUUUUUCUGGGCUGAUAUCAUUUGCUUGGAGAACAAGGAAAGUCUUCAAAUAAUCUUUUGUUGGGGAAAGGAGGGAAGGGAGGGUAUCUGAAUUCAAUAGGCCUGUUCUCUGUGGAGGAGGGGCAGGACUUGGCUGUCACCCAGGUGAGCUCAGUACCAUCAGCCAUCAGUUACACCCAUGGCCUCUGUAUUUGUACUAGGGCACAAUGAAAUGUCAUCAAAUAAGAGGGGCACGCAAAUAUAGGGCAUCGUUCUUUCUCUUGUUAUAAAGGUAGCGCAUGUUCAUUGCUUAGAUAUUUAGAAACGGUAGAAAAGCAAAAAGAAAAAAAUUCACUCAAAAUUUCAUUCUUCUGAGAUAAUCGCUUAGGGUUGAGAGGACAAAAGGAAGUAGUUUGAAUUUUUAAAACUUAGAAACUCAGAAGGGAGCUGUGGAGUCUCAGACCCCCUCUGAGGAAAAGGUGCUCCCUGAGGGGUGGUUUCCGUGGGUGCAGAGGAAGGGGCCCUUCGGGCUGGAAACCAGAGCUCCGAGAGGGGUACUUCCGGUCCGUGCCGGUGAGUCUGCAGUGCUGUAAUGAGACCUUUGGGAAAACCGUGAGCUGCAUCUGGCUGCUGCUGUGAGCAGGGUGACCGGCGGCCGGGGCGAGGCGCCCCUGGAAGGGCAGCGGCCCGGGGCAAGCGGGAAGGACCGGCCCCUUUCUCCCUCCUCCAGCCCCGCAGCCCCGCAGCCCCCGCUCCGGCCUGCCACCGGCUCCCAGACGCAGCAGGCGCGGCGGAAAUGUGCUUUGCAGAGCCUCGGCUCCAGCAUCAGGGGCAGAGUAGAAAAGGGUGGUUUGGAACCGAGAGAGAGGGUAACAGGUGCGUCUGGGUUUAUUUGCCCUUGCUUGUGUUCCUUCCUCCUGUCCUUUAUUUAAUUCAUUUGUUUAAAUAUGUAGCACAUUAACCUACUUCGCAAGAAUAAAAACUGUCCACAAAGGUAUACCCAGAGAGGCGUCCUCACCCCCCCCCCCUUUACCCGGUAUCCCCCACCCCUUGUAGGUAUUCCACUUCAUGGUUUUCCGAUUUGCCUUUGAUGUGUGUGUGUGUGUGUGUGUGUGUGUGUGUGGUUUUCUUUUUUUCGCUUUUCAAAAUUUAACACUUAUGUUUUCUUAUUCCCUUUGGUCUUCUGUGCAAAAGUAUAUUAUUUACAAUUGUUUGCACUUUGCAUUUUUCAUUUACUAUAUUCUGGAAAUCAGGUCGUAGAGUUUACCACAUUUUUUAAAAAUAGUACUCUAUAGUACUCCAACCAGAUGUCAUCGUUUAUGUAACCAAUCUUCCAUGUCUGGGUAUUUAAGGUAUUAAUAUAUGUAUAUUUUUUGAAAUUACAAAUAAUGUUGCAUGAACAACCUAGUACAUGAAUAGUUUUUAAAUUGUUGGACGUGUACCUUCAGGGUAAAUUCCUAGGAGUGGGACGAUUUUGUCAAAGAGUGACUGUAUCCUGGUUUGUUACAUAUUGCCAAAUUCCUCUGCAUAGGAGUUGUAUCUUUUUUUUUUUUUUUAAGUUUAUUUACCUAUUUUGAGAGAGAGAGAAUGAGUGUGGGAGGGGCAGAGACGGGGACAGAGGAUCCCAAGUGGGCUCCAUGCUAACAGCAGAGAGCCUAGUCUGAUGGAGGGAUCAGUCUCACAAACUGUGAGAUCAUGACCUGAGCCAAAGUUGGACACUUAACUGACUGAGCCAUCCAGAUGCCCCUCAAUUGUACCAUUUUUCAUUCUCAUUGGCAAUAGAUAAGUGCCUGUUUCAUCAGCAGAAAAUAUUGUCAGGAUUUUGAAUUUUUGCCCAUCUGAUGGGGGAGAAAUGCUAUCUUAGUAUGGUUUUAAUUUGCCUUUCCCUUAUUAUGAAUGAGGUUGAACAUUUGUUCCUGUUUCAGGAUCAGUUUUGUAUCUUUUUACUGUUGUUAAUUUUGCCCAUUCUUCUGGAGGAUUUUUGAUCCUUUUCCCUCAAUUGAAAAAACCAUUGAUAUAUUAGAGAUUUUGAUCCCUUAUCUGUGGGAUUGUGAUGUAAAUCUGUUCUAUAAAUGUGUCAUUUGAUUUUUGAUUUUGUUGAUUUGUUUGCCCUGCGAAACCUUAAAUUUUUUUAAGUAAUUAAAUGUAUCAAUCUUUUUUUUUUUAAAUUUUUUUUUCAACGUUUAUUUAUUUUUGGGACAGAGAGAGACAGAGCAUGAACGGGGGAGGGGCAGAGAGAGAGGGAGACACAGAAUCGGAAGCAGGCUCCAGGCUCUGAGCCAUCAGCCCAGAGCCUGACGCGGGGCUCGAACUCACGGACCGCGAGAUCGUGACCUGGCUGAAGUCGGACGCUUAACCGACUGCGCCACCCAGGCGCCCCAUGUAUCAAUCUUUUAUUGCAUCUUCAUUUGGAGACAUAAUUAGAAAGAUUUUCCCGAUACACAGGUUGUAGAAGGUAGUGCCCGUGUUUUCUUCUAGUACUCGUGUUUCAGGUUUGGCAUUCGGAUCUCUGCCCCAUUUGGAGUCCGUGAUACCUUUUCCCAAGUGGCUGUUUCGGUUAUCUAUGGAUGGAUAACAAACCACCCUGAAAUUUAGUGGCUUAAAAUAAGAUUAGUUUUAUUAGCUUCCACAGUUCCGUGUGUAGAUUUGACUCAGCUGGGCAGUUUUGCUAUUUUUGCUUGGGUCCUCCUGUAUGGUUGCAGUGCUGGGCGGCUGGGGCUGGAGUUGUUUAAAAAGGCUUGAUUUGGGGGUGCCUGAGUGGCUCAGUCAGUUAAGCGUUGGACUCUUGAUUUCAGCUCAGGUUGUGAUCUCACCAUUAGUGAGUUCUGAGCCCCCAGUCGGGCUCCACACUGGUAGUGCAGACCCUGCUUGGGAUUCUCUCUCUCCCUCUCUCUGCACCUCCCCUGCUCUCUCUCUCUCAAAAUAAAUAAAUACAGCUUAAAAAAAAAAAAAAGGCUUGAUUUGGAUACUGGGAAGGCCUCUCUCCUUCCACAUGUAGUUCUAGGUCCUCUUCUCUCCAUGGGGCCUCUUCAUUUGGUCUUUUCAGUAGGGGAGCUGGAUUGCUUCUUUGUCUUUGCUUCCUUUUUCUUCUCUCUAUCUCUCUUUCUCUCUUUUUAAAAGUAAUCUCUCCGCCCAAUGUGUGGUUCGAACUCAAGACCUGGACAUUGAGUCACAUGCUCUUCCCACUGAGCCAGCCGGGCGCCCUUCUUCUCCUUUUAAAUGUUUUAUUGUGAUAGCUUUCAAAUGCCAUAAAAUUCACCUAUUUAAAGUUCACACGGUUCAGUGGUUUUCAGUACAAUCAGAGUCGUACAAACCCAUCACCACAAUCUAAUUUUAGAGUAUUUUUAGCAUCCCAGAAAGAAACCCUAUACUCAUUAGCAGUCAUUUCUCAUUCUGCGGCAGGCUUCAUGCCUGUUCCGGCCCCAGACAACCACUGAUCCACUUUCUGUCCAUAUGAAUUUGUCUAUUUUGGGUAUUUCAUAUAAAUGGAAUCAUACAAUAUGUGGUCUUUUUUGACCAGCUUCUUUCACUUGGCAUAACGCGUUCAAGGUUCAUCCGUGUUGUACUGUGUCUCAGAACUUCAUUCCUUUUUAUAUACAAAUAAUAGUCUGCUACAUGGUGAUCUCCCAGUUUGCUUACCCAGUCAUCUGUUGGUGGACAUUUAGAUUGUUUUGACAUUUUGGCUGUUAUGAAUAAUGCUUCUAUGAACAUCUUUGUUCAAGUUUUUGUGUGGAUGUAUGUUUUGAUUUCUUUUUUUUUUAAUUUUCUUUUAAUGUUUAUUUAUUUUUGAAGGAGAGAGAGAGAGAGACAGAACAUGAGCUGGGGAGGAGCAGAGAGAGAGGGAGACAGAAUCUGAAGCAGGCUCCAGGCUCCAGGUUCCAGGUUCCCAGCCCGACGCAGGGCUCACACUCAUGAGCCGUGUGAACAUGACCUGAGCUGAAGUCGGACACUUAACCGACUGAGCCACGCAGGCACCCCUGGGUGUUUUGAUUUCUUGAGUCUAUACGAAGAGUGGAAUUACUGGAUCUUAUCUUUAGCCUUUUCAGGAAUUGCCACGGUGUUUUCCACGAUGGUUGCACCACUUUUUGGAUUUCGUCGGAAGCUUAUUUAUCAUUUAGGGUGAAAUCACAUGUUUUUCUCGUUAGACCCGUUCAAAUGGUGCUUUAUAUGAACGGAUUAUUUAAUAGUGACAUAUCCUCGAAUUUCCAGCAUAAUCUCAAAUAAGUUAUUUCUUGAUGACCUCCCUCUGAGGUUCAGUUUUCCUAUCUGUAAAUUGCAGAUAAUACUAGUAUUUACUCUCAUAGGGUUGUGAAGAUUUGAUGAGGUAAUGAAUGUAAAGUGCCCGUCACCGUGGUUAGCAUAGAAUAAAUGCUCAAUAAAUAUUAGCUAUGUAUUACCAUCUGUGGGUAGAUUCCCCCCAAUCCAGGACAUUUCCCAGCCACAAAGUCUGAGUUUGUGCAGAGAAAUUUUCUGUGAGGCACAGUGCACUUAGUAGUUAACAGCUGUGAUAUUUGUAAUAUUGAAAGAGGACUUCAACUAACUCCAUUUUGACCUCAGUCUGUACUUUCUAAUUGAUUAAGUUCUUCUUUGUGGCUUAUCUUUUAACUCAGGCAAAAGACCCUGUGGGCAAGGCAUCCCUUGAUAGAAAACUAAACUACCCCCUCCAGCAGUUAAGUACCGCACUGAACCAGCAAGACCCUGCAUGACUGACCCCAAGACAAUGGCCGACCUGACCUUUACUGCCCGCCUGCACAUUCCCACCGACCUUUGCUCCACAUUUUCCUCAUAUAAACCUGGAAGUGUUUUCGGCACUUUGGAGACAGUCUUUGAGACUCUAGUCCACAGUCUUCCCGGUGCUGGCCUUGCUGAAAUAAAUUCCUUUCUUGUUUCACCACUGCUUGU
rnacentral:lncRNA from 1 species